CUCAGAGUCUUUCUUCAGCUCAUGUGGAAGUCUACACAAACUGAGUGAAGAGCCACUAGUUCCUCCUCCGCUUCCCCCUCGGAAAAAGUUUGAUCACGAUGCUCCGAACUCCAAGGGAGCUAUGAAAUCGGAUGAUGACCCUCCUGCUAUUCCACCAAGACAACCCCCUCCUCCAAAGACAGGAUAAAGCUUUUCCCAUUUGGAUACUCUCGUUCAAAGUGAUCAACGUAUGUUGUGCUGAUAGUGCAGUAGCCCCCAUUGUAAAGUAGCCAAAAGCCAUGUUGUUUAUCUACUGGUCUGUGGCCUUCUACUGUGCUUUGCAUCAGAGUUCUUAACAAGGUUAAUAAAUCACCUCAGUCUUAAUUUGU
rnacentral:lncRNA from 1 species